GACGAACGCUGGCGGCGUGCCUAAUACAUGCAAGUUGAGCGCUGAAGGUUGGUACUUGUACCAACUGGAUGAGCAGCGAACGGGUGAGUAACGCGUGGGGAAUCUGCCUUUGAGCGGGGGACAACAUUUGGAAACGAAUGCUAAUACCGCAUAAAAACUUUAAACACAAGUUUUAAGUUUGAAAGAUGCAAUUGCAUCACUCAAAGAUGAUCCCGCGUUGUAUUAGCUAGUUGGUGAGGUAAAGGCUCACCAAGGCGAUGAUACAUAGCCGACCUGAGAGGGUGAGAGGCCACAUUGGGACUGAGACACGGCCCAACAUACUGCGGGAGGCAGCAGUAGGGAAUCUUCGGCAAUGGAAGAAAGUCUGACCGAGCAACGCCGCGUGAGUGAAGAAGGUUUUCGGAUCGUAAAACUCUGUUGGUAGAGAAGAACGUUGGUGAGAGUGGAAAGCUCAUAAAGUGACGGUAACUACCCAGAAAGGGACGGCUAACUACGUG
rnacentral:rRNA from 1 species